CCUACGGGUGGCUGCAGAGAGGAAUAUUGGUCAAUGGGCGAGAGCCUGAACCAGACAAGUCGCGUGAAGGAUGAAGGCCCUAAGGGUUGUAAACUUCUUUUGUCAGGGAGCAAUUGAGUCCACGUGUGGGCUUAGCGAGAGUACCUGAAGAAAAAGCAUCGGCUAACUACGUGCCAGCAGCCGCGGUAAUACGGAGGAUGCGAGCGUUAUCCGGAUUUAAUGGGUUUAAAGGGUGCGUGGGCGGAAUAUCAAGUCAGCGGUAAAAAUUCGGGGCUCAACCCCGUCGUGCCGUUGAAACUGAUGUUCUUGAGUGGGCGAGAAGUAUGCGGAAUGCGGGGUGUAGCGGUGCAAUGCAUAGAUAUCACGCAGAACUCCGAUUGCGAAGGCAGCAUACCGGCGCCCAACUGACGCUGAAGCACGAAAGCGUGGGUAUCGAACAGGAUUAGAUACCCGGGUAGUC
rnacentral:rRNA from 1 species